GUUAAUUGGGAGUACUUUGCGUCAGAUGGUUGUGCAAGGUUUAUGAGAAGGUGUCUGCUGUGAGUUGCAGCAAGUCGCUGAAAAGUAGUUAGUAUAUGAUAGUGACUAGGAAUUGGUCAAAGCUGAAAGUACACAUGUUUAUCUUCGCAAAAUGCAGGGACCUGCAUAUAAAGUUUAGCCGUAUACUUUUUAUCUCCCAUGCUUUUAAACCAGAUCUGAUUUAGAGUUUAUCGAUAAAUAUAAAAAUGAAGCACAAGGCUCAGUGAAGGCUCCUAGCAAGAAUGCUGACCAGCAAGACUCUGGUUUCGGUUUGCGUGCUGUUUUCCGGUCUGACGCCUUUGAUUUCGGGUCUAGACUUUCGGUACCAUAAUACCGAAAACAUGGAAAACUUCUUGUGGGAUAUUACAACAAAGUACUCUUCCAUUACCUGUCUUCAUAGCAUUGGGAAAUCAGUGGGAGGUAGAGAUCUUUGGGUCAUUAUCAUUGGAAGAUUUCCACAGGAGCACACCAUUGGAAUACCAAAUUUCAAGUAUGUCGCUAAUAUACAUGGAGAUGA